CUCAUUGUCGUUGAUCGAAUAUAUCCACAGUAAGUCUCUAUGUCUCCUAAUUAUGAACACAAUUUUUUGAGUUAUUAUAUUUACUUUUUCAUUGUUUAAUCGUGUCUCAUAUUUGGUGGGUUUGCGAAUUUAUUGAAAUUUCUUAGGUGUCUUGCUUGGUAAUUUUCAUACAAUUAUGCUGCUACUUCAAUUAUUUCUCCAAAUGACUAGGCAUCCGAUAGUGCAGCGAUUGUAACAUGUGACGGAUAAGCAUCACAGACACGGAACCAACUUUUGAAAUUUACGACUAUUUUUUGUUACAAAGUUUGAUUGCAAAACUAAAAUAAAAGUUGAUUAUUUUACUUACUUUGUUGUUGUAUAUCUUAGUUGGUUUUGGACAAUAUGUAUAUCAAAGUUUGUAGUUUAUGAGAAAUUUUAAAUUUUUAGGGGAGGUUACGCCGAUUUUUUUUGUAGAAUUUUAUAUUUGGUUUUGAACAUUUUUUUUUUGCUUGCGUGCACAUUUCUAAAUACAAUAUAAGAAAUAUACAAUAUUAGAAAUAAUUAAAUUAAUUAUUCUUUUUGUGUUUUAAAUACCAAAAAACAUUAAAUUAAUUAAAAUAUGCAAGAUAAUAAAAAAUUUAAUCACUAAAAACUUAAAUAAAAAAAUUAAAAAAUACAUUUGCAUGACUAAAAUAUGUCAUCACCCAAAAUUUAACAUUAUCACAUCUUUCGUUAUGUGCAACAAAAUAUUUAUAAAUGAUAAAACUAAAAAAUACUCAAAAAACAAAUACGAUUGGGCAAAGUUUAUUGCGUAUUGAUUUACCCGACAACAACUUUGCUCGCCCAAAAGAUUUUGUACAAAGGGAAGUCUUCGCCUAAGCCUUAACGCGAUGAAAUCCUGUCGCGGCUUUAAUGUUGUUGCGACGAAACUACUUCAUCUCUUAAAUCUUAGCAUGACGAAAUCCUUUGUAACCCACUUUCGUAGGGCAAAUUUUUUUGCGCGAGGAAGUUUUGGUUUUUUCACUCAAAUGUUUGUCUCUCAAACUUUGACGAGUACAUAGGGGCAACGAAGUUUUCAUUACCUAAACCUUUACAUGACGAAAUUUCUCUUUGCGCGAUGAAUGGGAUUUCGUCGAAAAAACAAUUUUAUGUACUAGUGCAAUACUUUUGACCAAAAGAACAACUUAGAUUACUUGUACAUCGUCAUUGUGACGUUGUGCUGAUUAAAUGUCACAUAUAUAUUUGAGCAUUAUUCUUGGCACUCCAAAAUUUUUAUUGUGCAUUCCUUACAAGUGUAUUUCUUGUAGGUAUUGUUUUACAAAACUAGUAAAAGCAAUCAUGCCUACGCACCUUUGUGCGAUUUGAAUCCCCACAUAUCAUCUCUCUGCUAACGACUAACAAUUUAACCUAUGAACGUUAACGUUUUAAAAAGAAAAUAUUUUUCUUUUUAAAUAUGGGAUAAUUGUAACAACCCGUCCUUAAUUUUACGAUUUUAUAAAUUUUAAAAGAGUGAUUUGACGAAAAUGCUCGCAGAGCAUAAUUUUGGGCAGUAUUGUGUUCAUCGCACGCGUGAUGUAGGCAUUCUUGGUUCUUGAACCUAAAUGUCGAAUCUUGCAACCUCGUCGAGCAUAAAAAAAUGUGUUAGCUUUUUCUAAGUUUUGAGUGACUUAGAUGACUUAUCGAUAUUCUAGAAGAACAUUUUGGCGACUACCUCUAGACUUAAACAAAGAACCUACCUUCCAAGAAUAAUCCCGAUUUAGAAUGAGUUGAUGGCCCUGAAGCAGGGCUAAUGUAUCUAUAAACACCACCAGAGAUUUUACUCAUUGAUCCCACAACUAUUAUCUUAGUUAUCAUUACCAACCCUUUUGAGGUAGGAAACCAGAAAUAGUUUUGAUUCAUUGACAGUACCUGUUAGAAUAGCACCUAUUCGAAUUCCUAUGAAGUUUUUUUUUCUGACGAAAUUCCCAGAAAUGCCUCCAAGUCAAUGUGGUGCUAAAGUAGUAGCACUUGACCGAAGAACAUCUGGGGGACAAUCACUUUUGGUCCUCGAUGGCACUAAUCUUCUCAAGGGUAGUAGCUAUAAUUCCGGAUCUUCAAGAGGAAGAUCAAAUCUCUUUAAAUCAGUUCUCAAGUAGGUUAUUAACAAAUUCCUUUUCCCAGCCUUAGGACAUUUCAACUAACACUAGUUCCUAGAAUUCUUUUUGAUGCUGUACUCGGCAUUUCGAUGAGUAUAGGCAUGAGAAUACGAGUUGUUAUACCUUCGGUUAGCAAAAAUCCCAAAAGCAGUAAUCAAUUUCCUCUUGAAUCAACGAAACCAACUCACAAGAUCUGUUCUUUACCAAUUAUCUGAAACAAUCCACCCGAGUGGCCUUUAACCUGUAAUCAGCCUACGUUAGCGUUACUCAUUGAUGAUGUUGUUUGAUAUCCAUAAGCUAUCAACUAGUAUUCAGAUGGUAUGAUUUCUGAUACCAAACACAUGCUAAUAUCUGGGAAUGAUACAUUUGUGCCAGAACACCGGUUCACAAUUUCAUGGUAACGAACAAUAUCAAAAUAUCAUAAAUGCAUUAAUUAGCGGCGCGACUGAUAGACUAAUUAACAAUGGCUAAUUGAGCCAAAGAAAUUAAAUUGUGGAAACUUAGGAUCAAGCCUUGUAGGAGGACAGUAAACUCGUAAACGUUUUAACCAUAUUAACCAUUUAGGUAACCAAAACCUCUUCGGCCAACCAUUUUUCUGAUCACUCCCACAGGCAAAUAUUAGACUUGUAGAAUUUCUUAAAUUCCCACUAUAAUAGCAAGAUGAGUAUUGAGGAAGUUGUGAAGGUCUUUAGUACGUGGCGUUGUGAAAGGAAGUAGUAUGAUACAUUUCAGGACGUAUUUGGCAUCAUUUCUUAAAAUUACACGGGAUACCACUAAAGCGGGAAUUAUAAUACACCAUCGAUCCACUUUCUAGUACUACACAAAUUCUCCUUACAACAUGUUGAACGACUCCUUCAACUCUGAGAAAAUUUAGUUGUAAAAUCUUAUUGAUUAGGAAUUUACCCAAUCAAACGCUUUAUCUAGGGAACCUCAAACCUAUCAGCGAAGGCGAAAGAUUGAACCUUAGGAUCGUGCCUAGAUUUUAGAAACUCAAUCGGGUGACAAUUAAAACCGUUAGCCUAUACUUCGAAUUGAUUGUUUCUCCGGCCAACUUUUGGAGCUCGAGUUUUCUUCCAUAGCCUGGAAAAUUCGUUGUAGUCUUAUCGACGACUUUCUUAACUACCCCAGCAAUGCGAUCAAAUUUUCUAAACACCGACAAUCAGCUUUAUUCCAAAUUCCUCAAAUAUUAGCUUUGUUUACAUUAGUACUUUUCUUGGGAGACAUGAUCUCAACAUACGACAUUCUUUUCUUUUCCCCAAAAGGUUGUGGCUAAACAAAGUGUGACAUUCCCACAUAUUAUUGUGAAAUACAAAAUAUUAUUGGCCUUGUCGAUUUUUAUCGGCAAUUUGUUAGCAACUUUUUAACUAUAGCAUUCUUCCUCACUUGUCGACCGAGAAAAGUUAGUUUAGUUUGUGAUGUCGAUUAUGAAUAAAAAUUUCUAACAAUUGAAGUGUUGUCUCUUCCCGGGCAUCAUUCUUGCACAUUUCGAUGACAUCGAUAAUUACGAAAUCCACGAUGAUGUUUUUCUGAAUGUAUUGGUUGCGGGCUAAUACAGCAUGACGGAGUAUCGCUUAUGUUUUCCCUACAGUCGAAAUUGUAUAAAGCGAACCAUCUUACUCAUGACCUAGAGUCAAUUGCUAUCUCCUUUAUUUGGAAAGAAACUAGAUCUCUAACAAUGGCGAUGGAAAAACCAAAUCAAUGCCUACGAUUGCACUAUCGUGUGUUACCUCGUUGUGCAAACGUAAUUACUGUUUUAUUGCAACAAAAGACAUAUAUACUCUUGCACACUUUCAGCCUGUCGUAUCCCAUUUCAGUUAGAAUUUAUGAGUAUUGAUACGAGCAAGGAAGAAAAAAUCGAUAAUAUUGGCGAUAUUUCGCCGAUAUUAUCGUUUUUUUCAUAUCCCGAUAUUUUAUACACUAUCCAUUAAUAUAUCGUUAAAAUAUCGAUAUUAUCGAGAUACGAUAUUUUCAAUGAUUUUAAUACAUUAUUUGGGAAAUAUAUCGCGAUAUUAUUGACCUAGAGUCAAUUGCUAUCUCCUUUAUUUGGAAAGAAACUAGAUCUCUAACAAUGGCGAUGGAAAAACCAAAUCAGUGCCUACGAUUGCACUAUCGUGUGUUACCUCGUUGUGCAAACGUAAUUACUGUUUUAUUGCAACAAAAGACAUAUAUACUCUUGCACACUUUCAGCCUGUCGUAUCCCAUUUCAGUUAGAAUUUAUGAGUAUUGAUACGAGCAAGGAAGAAAAAAUCGAUAAUAUUGGCGAUAUUUCGCCGAUAUUAUCGUUUUUUUCAUAUCCCGAUAUUUUAUACACUAUCCAUUAAUAUAUCGUUAAAAUAUCGAUAUUAUCGAGAUACGAUAUUUUCAAUGAUUUUAAUACAUUAUUUGGGAAAUAUAUCGCGAUAUUAUUGACCUAGAGUCAAUUGCUAUCUCCUUUAUUUGGAAAGAAACUAGAUCUCUAACAAUGGCGAUGGAAAAACCAAAUCAGUGCCUACGAUUGCACUAUCGUGUGUUACCUCGUUGUGCAAACGUAAUUACUGUUUUAUUGCAACAAAAGACAUAUAUACUCUUGCACACUUUCAGCCUGUCGUAUCCCAUUUCAGUUAGAAUUUAUGAGUAUUGAUACGAGUAAGGAAGAAAAAAUCGAUAAUAUUGGCGAUAUUUCGCCGAUAUUAUCGUUUUUUUCAUAUCCCGAUAUUUUAUACACUAUCCAUUAAUAUAUCGUUAAAAUAUCGAUAUUAUCGAGAUACGAUAUUUUCAAUGAUUUUAAUACAUUAUUUGGGAAAUAUAUCGCGAUAUUAUCAAUAAUAUCGCGAGAUAAAACCCAAAUUUGCAUAUGACAAAGAAAAUAUGCUAAAAUAACACCAAGGGGAUUCGAACCCCUCCCACUUUACUCCUUCAACACCUUAACCACCAUAUACUUAUGUUUUUGUGAACACAUGCUAAAAUAUUUAUAUAUAUGGUUUUGUCUUGAAUUCUUUUUUGCAAGAAACAAAUUUGCACAUGACAAUUAAUCUUUGACAAUUUCUUUUGCACAUGCAAUGUAUAAAGUGUAAAAUAUUGUAGUAAAUCAUUAUAUAUAAAUUAUUAUGGUGUGUUUAAUCUUUUUUUCAUUAAUUACUACAUAUUUUCUACACCCACAGUGUUUGCCAGCUCGAUGUAUAAUCAACUUAAAUCAGUUAAAUCCAUCAUGUAAUGCAUUUCCUUCUAAUUUUUUUUUUUAUAAACUAAUAGAUAAUUGACUAAAUAAACAUUCUCCAAAGUUUCAAUAAAAAUUUCCAAGUUUUUCUUACAGUUUCCGUGGUUUUUAUUCAAGUUUUAUCGAUAUCGAUAAUAUCUCGAUAUUUCCAUCGAUAUUUCCGUGUUUUUGAACUACCGAUAUUUCCGAUAUCAUCGAUAUUUUAUACCUUGGAUACGAGUUACUUACAAAUCAUCACAAAAUUGUUCGAGUGGUUGUAAUCACUUCCUGUAUCUAAAUGGCGAUGGGGAAAUAUCACCAUAAGUUCCCGAUACAAGGUAUCUUGUACAUGUGGAGAUUAUGAUGAUGUUUCGGUGAUUACUGACUGACUUGACAAAUCAGCUUACUUUCUGUUGGUCCAGAUGGACUACAUUUUAUACGACUUAGUAAAAUUUCUCAUUCUUGAAUUUAUUUUAUUUUAUUUUUUUAAUAGAUUUUCUAGCGUUUCAAUCGACAUCUACUUUGACUGCGAUUGCAUAGUCACAUUUUUGAGCUGGAAGGCAUUCCAGUCAACCUUGGGCACGUGUCUGCCUAUUGGACUUCACAUUAUUUUUUAGGCAAACAAACUACCUAGGAGAAUCGCUCAAACAAAUUGUCUAGAAAAACCGCUGAUAUUAAAAUUUUAGUUGAUCAUUAAUUCCUUAAUCACCUAACAAAUAUUUUGCUGAACGAAUCUUUACUGUUGGUGAUUGAAUAUUUUGGAAGCUAUCGUUGUAAUGAGAUGUUUGCAUUCAAUCAAGUUAUCUUGUACUCUAGAUUUGAUGGACUUAUUUUGACUAUCAAAUUCUUGAGUGUUCUUUUAGCCUUUUUAGCGUAAUUUUUCGCUAAACCUAAGAGAAAUUCCAAAGGGAGACUUUGGAUGCGGUCCCUAGUUAUGAAUAAUCUUUGACUGAAACUUUGUUGGUUUUCAAUUUUUGAUCAAAGUCCCUAAAAUUAAUUGAUAAUUUAUUUCUAUGUACGUUACUAUAUUUUUUAAAUUAAAAAUUAAAAU
rnacentral:lncRNA from 1 species